rnacentral:rRNA from 1 species
AUUGAACGCUGGCGGCAUGCCUUACACAUGCAAGUCGAACGGCAGCACGGGAGCAAUCCUGGUGGCGAGUGGCGAACGGGUGAGUAAAGUAUCGGAACGUGCCCAGUCGUGGGGGAUAACGUAGCGAAAGUUACGCUAAUACCGCAUACGAUCUAUGGAUGAAAGCGGGGGAUCGCAAGACCUCGCGCGAUUGGAGCGGCCGAUAUCAGAUUAGGGAGUUGGUGGGGUAAAGGCCCACCAAGCCGACGAUCUGUAGCUGGUCUGAGAGGACGACCAGCCACACUGGGACUGAGACACGGCCCAGACUCCUACGGGAGGCAGCAGUGGGGAAUUUUGGACAAUGGGCGAAAGCCUGAUCCAGCCAUGCCGCGUGCAGGAUGAAGGCCUUCGGGUUGUAAACUGCUUUUGUACGGAACGAAAAGGUUUGGCCUAAUAAGCUGAGCUCAUGACGGUACCGUAAGAAUAAGCACCGGCUAACUACGUGCCAGCCGCCGCGGUAA